UGAGCCCUGGAUCUUGACCACAGCAGGGUAGUUGGUAGCUGCCCCUCUGGGAGAGAUCCCCACGGGUAACAGCCAUGGACCCUGGAGGGGCCUGGACCAGGGACAGGGACCAGAGCCAGCCCAGGGAGAGGACACGGCCGAUGGACUGGGGUGCACUUUAACAGCCCUGCUGGAGAAAGGGACCAGGGUGCCACCCUCCAGGGAGCCCACGCUGCAAGUCAGGCCAGAGGUGCCUCUGACCCUGAGGGCCAAUGAAACCCAAGACAAGCAAGUGGGUCGUGAGAUCCCCAAGGCGCCAGGCCCUGGUCCCAGGCAGCGCUGGCCCCUGCUGCGGCUGGGUCUGGCCAUGGUCGCCCAUGGCCUACUGAGCCCAACGGCUACACUGCAGAGCCGGGUCCCAGACUCUGCCGCCUCAGUUGGAAGCAGCCGGUCCAGCCUGUGGAGGCUGUGGGGCAGGUAAGGGGCGAGAGCACCCCUCAGUCACUCUGUUCGCGCCCUCCACUGAGGAGCUCAGAGACAACAAGACCACACUGGUGUGUCUCAUGAGUGACUUCUACCCGGGCGCUGUGAUGGUGACCUGGAAGGCACAUGGCACCUCCAUCACCCAGGGUGUGGAGACCACCUUGGCCUUGAAAGACACCAACAACAAGUACGCGGCCAGCAGCUACCUGAGCCUCACGCCUGAGCAGUGGAGGUCCUGCAGCAGCUACAGCUGCCACGUCACACACAAAGGGAAAACCGUGGAGAAGACAGUGGCCACUGAAGGAUGUUCUUAGGCCCCAACCCUCACCCCACCCACGGGGCCUGGAGCUGCACAUUCCCAGGGGAGAGGUCUCUCCCCCCAAUCCCAAGACAUCCAGCCCUUCUCCCUGCACCCAAUAAGCCCUCAAUAAAUAUUCUGAUUGUCAACCAGA